UAAGAAUCUUCCGCAAUGGGCGAAAGCCUGACGGAGCGACACCGCGUGGAUGACGAAGGUCUUACGAUUGUAAAAUCCUUUUUGCGNAAAGGAACACGGUGCAGAGGUAAUGCUGCACCCCUGACGUUAUGCGCAGAAUAAGUCCCGGCUAAUUACGUGCCAGCAGCCGCGGUAAUACGUAAGGGGCAAGCGUUGUUCGGAAUCAUUGGGCGUAAAGCGUGCGUAGGUGGUUAGACAAGCUUGGUGUGAAAUCUUGCAGCUCAACUGCAAAACUGCGCUGAGAACUGUCUAACUAGAGUUUCGGAGAGGUAGCUGGAAUUCUGAGUGUAGGGGUGGUAUCCGUAGAUAUUCAGAGGAACACCAAAGGCGUAGGCAAGCUACUAGCCGUAAGCUGACACUGAGGCACGAAAGCGUGGGGAGCAAACAGAAUUAGAUACUCUGGUAGUCCACGCCGUAAACGUUGUGUACUGGACGUUGGAUCUUUA
rnacentral:rRNA from 1 species